rnacentral:rRNA from 1 species
UACGGAGGGGGCGAGCGUUAUUCGGAAUUAUUGGGCGUAAAGAGCUCGUAGGCGGCUUGUCGCGUCGACUGUGAAAUCCCGCGGCUCAACUGCGGGUCUGCAGUCGAUACGGGCAGGCUAGAGUUCGGUAGGGGAGACUGGAAUUCCUGGUGUAGCGGUGAAAUGCGCAGAUAUCAGGAGGAACACCGAUGGCGAAGGCAGGUCUCUGGGCCGAUACUGACGCUGAGGAGCGAAAGCGUGGGGAGCGAACAGG